GACGAAGGGGGCUAGCGUUGUUCGGAAUUACUGGGCGUAAAGCGAGUGUAGGUGGUUGUCCAAGUUGGAUGUGAAAGCCUUGAGCUCAACUCAGGAAAUGCAUUCAGGACUGGGCGGCUAGAGGACCGGAGAGGAUAGUGGAAUUCCCAGUGUAGUGGUGAAAUACGUAGAGAUUGGGAAGAACACCAGUGGCGAAGGCGGCUAUCUGGACGGUUUCUGACACUAAGACUCGAAAGCGUGGGGAGCAAACAGG
rnacentral:rRNA from 1 species